CCCAAUGGCGGCAGCUUACACAUGCAAGUCGAGCGAGACCUUCGGGUCUAGCGGCGGACGGGUGAGUAACGCGUGGGAACGUGCCCUUUGCUACGGAAUAGUCCCGGGAAACUGGGUUUAAUACCGUAUGUGCCCUUCGGGGGAAAGAUUUAUCGGCAAAGGAUCGGCCCGCGUUGGAUUAGGUAGUUGGUGGGGUAAUGGCCUACCAAGCCGACGAUCCAUAGCUGGUUUGAGAGGAUGAUCAGCCACACUGGGACUGAGACACGGCCCAGACUCCUACGGGAGGCAGCAGUGGGGAAUCUUAGACAAUGGGGGCAACCCUGAUCUAGCCAUGCCGCGUGAGUGAUGAAGGCCUUAGGGUUGUAAAGCUCUUUCAGCUGGGAAGAUAAUGACGGUACCAGCAGAAGAAGCCCCGGCUAACUCCGUGCCAGCAGCCGCGGUAAUACGGAGGGGGCUAGCGUUGUUCGGAAUUACUGGGCGUAAAGCGCACGUAGGCGGACUGGAAAGUUGGGGGUGAAAUCCCGGGGCUCAACCUCGGAACUGCCUUCAAAACUAUCAGUCUGGAGUUCGAGAGAGGUGAGUGGAAUACCGAGUGUAGAGGUGAAAUUCGUAGAUAUUCGGUGGAACACCAGUGGCGAAGGCGGCUCACUGGCUCGAUAC
rnacentral:rRNA from 1 species